GAGGCGUUAGCUCAGCUGGUAGAGCAGGGGACUUGUAAUCCUCCGGCCGUGGGUUCAAGUCCCGCACGCCUCU
rnacentral:tRNA from 1 species